AAUAGAUACCCUGGUAGUCCACGCCGUAAACGGUGGGUACUAGGUGUGGGUUUCCUUCCUUGGGAUCCGUGCCGUAGCUAACGCAUUAAGUACCCCGCCUGGGGAGUACGGCCGCAAGGCUAAAACUCAAAGGAAUUGACGGGGGGCCCGCACAAGCGGCGGAGCGUGCGGUUUAAUUCGACGCAACGCGCAGAACCUUACCAGGACUUGACAUGCACCUGCAGAGCCGUGAAAGCGGUUGGCCUUCGAGGUGGUGCACAGGUGCUGCAUGGCUGUCGUCAGCUCGUGUCGUGAGAUGUUGGGUUAAGUCCCGCAACGAGCGCAACCCUCGUGGCUAGUUGUCGAUGUUUCUAGCCAGACUGCCGGUAGCAAGCCGGAGGAAGGUGGGGAUGACGCCAAGUCAGCAUGGCCCUUACGUCCUGGGCUACACGCACGCUACAAUGGCCGGGACAAUGGGAAGCAAACUCGCGAGAGCCAGCAAAUCCCAAAAAACCGGUCCCCGAGUUCGGAUUGCAGGCUGCAACCCGCCUGCAUGAAGCGGAACG
rnacentral:rRNA from 1 species